rnacentral:lncRNA from 1 species
UAGCUGGAUAGCUUCACAUCGCCCAGUCGUUAGUGGUUGUCAAUUCCUACAACUAAUGUAAGUAAUGUAUGUUGUGAUUUGCGGGUAGUAACUGGAGUGCGUUUGUCUGGCUGUGUUUUUUCUCAAAAUGGCUAAAGACGUGGAGUUUAUUUGUGUUGUGCUGUGAAAUGUGCAUUGAACAACUUACGCAAAGGAUUAUUUAACGAUGGCCGAGUUCAGUAUCGAUGUUUCCUGCUUACCGGAGGACGUCCGGGAAAAACUAGCCGAGCUCGAUCUCGAAUUAUCUGAAGGUACGUUGUCCACACAUGCACGGAUUAAUGUAUCGAUGGACUCUCGGUAAGCGGUCGUAAGCUUGUUAACUUGAAAACUAGAUAUUGUUGAACCCGAGGUGUAACGUAAAUGUAAGUAGGAUUUUGUUUUUUUUUUUGUUUUUUUUUUUUUUUUUUAUGGAUCUUCUUAGUUUCAAAAUAAGUUCAUAGUGCGAAGUGAGAGAAGCAUU